rnacentral:ncRNA from 2 species
UUACUUGUGAGGAGAAACGCUCACGGGGUGGAAACAAGGACACACCCCCGCAGAGUUUUCGAAG